rnacentral:tRNA from 1 species
GUCCCUGUAGUGCAAAGGAUAGCGUGUUGGACUUCCAAUUCAAAGGUCAUGGGUUCGAAUUUCAUCUGGGAUG